GAUGAACGCUGGCGGCGUGCUUAACACAUGCAAGUCGAGCGAACAGACGAGGAGCUUGCCCCUCUGACGUUUGCGGCGGACGGGUGAGUAACACGUGGAUAACCUACUUAUAAGACUGGGAUAACUUCGGGAAACCGGAGCUAAUACCGGAUAAUAUAUUGAACCGUAGGGUUCAAUAGUGAGAUACGGUUUUGCUGGCACGUAUAGAUGGAUCCCCGCCGCAUUAGCUAGUUGUUAAGGUAACGGCUUACAAAGGCAACGAUGCGUAGCCGACGUGGCAGGGGGGUAGGCCACACUGGAACGUGGACGGGGUCCAUAGUACUACGGUAGGCCGCAGUAGGGAAUGUGCCGCAAAGGGGGGAAGUUUGGCGGAGUAACGGGGCGUCUGUGGUAGAGGUCUUCGGAUCGUAAAACUCGGUUAUUAGUGGAGAACAACUGUGUAAUUUGCUAUAGACGUCUUGACGGUAACUAAUCAGAAAGCCACGGCUAACUACGUG
rnacentral:rRNA from 1 species